GAUUUCAACUGAAAAAGUCAUCAACAUGAAAGUUGUAUAACUCAUCAAGAUCUAUAACUUUUAUUUGGGUUAUUUCCUUAUCCGACAAAGUGGUCUGCAACUUUGUUCGCAAAUAUACAUAUCUUAUAUAGUUUAUAAACUAUAAGAGAAAUAUGUAAAUUUUAUAAACAGUGUAACUAUUAUUUUGUAUAAUGAAGAAAUGAUCAAAAUAAAAGUUAUUGAUAUUGAUGAGUUAUACAACUUUGUUGUUGGUGACUUUUUCAAUUGUAAUC
rnacentral:pre_miRNA from 1 species